AUGGCUGCUCUGGGUCUGGUCCUGUUCACUUCUGGCGUCCCAGCCGUGACAGCACCACCGUUCUAAGUUCGGCGGCUCUGUGUUACAACUCCGAGGCCAAGCCGAAUCCAUCCAGUUAACUAGCUGAGUACCUGGGCCUUUCUGAGGCUGCUUCCCCAUUUGGUAGAUGGGUCCAAACCCACCAGCUUGUUGCAGUUGAAGGCCACCUGAGACACAUCCACGCCCCGCUGCCUGAAGUCGGCCACCAGGAAGCUUGAGGUGGAGCCCGAGCCAAGGGAAGGGCAAGGAGACACAAAUUAGAGCCUACGAGUGGCCUGGGCCUCCCUCAGGGUUGAGGAGGAAUGCCGGAGCAGGGGUGCCUCUCUGAGAAGAAGGGUCCCGUUCCGGGAGUUCGGUGAUGGCGGCGGCGGCGGCAGCUGGCAAGGUCCUGGCUGAGGUAAACUCCAACCCGGAUCCUGUCCUUCAGUCUGACUCAAGCCAGAAGGAUGUGCUCAGUGAACCCAGAUGGGGUAGAUCUGGGGGCCUGGAGCACGUGCCCUGUUUGAACGAAGCAGGUGAGGGCACUGUGGUCUGUCUCAUGCAAAGCCUUGGCAGAACUGAUAAUUACCAAGGUGGUACUUCGCUCCCCAGCUGCCCUCUACACACUCAUCCUCACGGUACUCUUCCCUCGGGAGUCCCUUGAGUGCUACUGGGAUUCCACUCAGUCCGCGGCUGCCUCCGUGAUGCCCGGCCAGGAAGUGGUGCUGCCUUGGUGAGGCCACCCACCACCCUCACCUCUCGUGGCAAGGUGAACCCCGCAGGCAGUGAGCUGGCUCCCAGUGCCUGAUGCUCCUCGACGUGGGGCCUGGUCCAGGACUCUUCCCCAGAAUCCCCUCUAAUCAGAGUGAGUGGGAGGUGGACCCUGGAGGAGACUGCGCCACCCCCACGCUUCCUGGCCGCAGCGUCUCUGGAAAGUGUCCUAUGACCGCUGGUCCAGCCACCAUCUUGGCCUUUCUCACGCUGAUCAAGCUGGGGCAUCAUUCCUCAUCGUACACCUCAAAGAUCCUUUAAAUAGUAGGAUCCCUCCAAAGCAUGCAAACUACAGGGUGGUUUUCCAAAUGAUUUUUUGCACCCUCCAUGCCUAGCACGUGGUAGGUGCUCAUUAAAUGCUUG